UACGUAGGGCGCAAGCGUUGUCCGGAAUUAUUGGGCGUAAAGAGCUCGUAGGCGGUUUGUCGCGUCUGCUGUGAAAUCCCGAGGCUCAACCUCGGGCUUGCAGUGGGUACGGGCAGACUAGAGUGCGGUAGGGGAGACUGGAAUUCCUGGUGUAGCGGUGGAAUGCGCAGAUAUCAGGAGGAACACCGAUGGCGAAGGCAGGUCUCUGGGCCGAAACUGACGCUGAGGAGCGAAAGCAUGGGGAGCGAACAGG
rnacentral:rRNA from 1 species